CCAAUAGCGUAUAUUAAAGUUGUUGCAGUUAAAAAGCUCGUAGUUGAAUUUCGGGAUCAGUACGCUGGUCAUGCCUUCGGUAUGUACUGGUGUUACUGGUUCCCACCUUCUGACGAACCGUCAUGUCAUUAAUUUGGUGUGGCGGGGAAUCAGGACUGUUACUUUGAAAAAAUUAGAGUGUUUAAAGCAGGCUCGCGCUUGAAUACAUUAGCAUGGAAUAAUGAAAUAGGACGUUCGAUCCUAUUUUGUUGGUUUCUAGGAUUGACGUAAUGAUUAAUAGGGAUAGUUGGGGGCAUUAGUAUUCAAUUGUCAGAGGUGAAAUUCUUGGAUUUAUUGAAGACUAACUACUGCGAAAGCAUUUGCCAAGGAUGUUUUCAUUAAUCAAGAACGAAAGUUAGGGGAUCGAAGACGAUCAGAUACCGUCGUAGUCUUAACCAUAAACUAUGCCGACUAGGGAUCGGAUGAUGUUAAUUUUUUAAUGACUCAUUCGGCGCCUUACG
rnacentral:rRNA from 1 species